AUUGAGAUAGCAACAUUACAUGGAUAUAUUUGUGCACUUAAGGGUGCGUUUGGUUCGCAUUAUGAAAGAUUACUAGGAAUAAAAGAUAUCUGAGAAUUUUAUUCCUAUUCAUUCUAUUACUAAGAAUGUGGAAUACCUGUGUAUGGUUCGCAUGGUAAUAUUAAUUAGCCAUGUUAUUUAAUAUUACAAAAAAUAUACAAUUAAUUAAUUAAUUUAUUUAUUUAAUUUUAAAUAAUGUUACCAAAAGUUUCAACAUCUUUUUAGAAAAAAGGAAGAGAGAGUAUAAGUUAGAGAGAGAGAACAUAAUUAAAAAAAUAGAAAGAAAAAUAUAGUCGAAAUUAGAGGGAGUGACAGAGUUGAAAUUUUAGAAAGAGAGAGAGAGAGAGAAAGCUUAGUUUAGAGAGAGAAAAAAAAAUUGAAUUUUAGAGAGAAAAAUAAGUUUAGAGAGAGAUAUAAGGUUAGAGUGUAAAGAAAAAUAAUAUCAAUUAGCCGGCGGGUAGGAAGAAAGAAAGAGAUUAGACAUAUUAUGAUUAUCCUAAUCCAUUAAUAUGAGGAUAUCCACCCUCUCUCAAGAGAAUGAGAUUAGUACUUUAGGGUGAAUCUUAUUCCCAAGUGAAUCCAAUAUUACCAACCAGAUUACUUAGUGCGUUUAGUCAAACACCGUCAUAUUUUUUUAUUCCCAUUAGAUUACUAGAAAUCUUUAAAAGAUAGUGCGAACCAAACGCACCCA
rnacentral:lncRNA from 1 species